UGGUGUGAUCAUACCAACACCAAUGCACCUGAUCCCAUCAGAAUUCCACAAUCAAGCAUGCAUGGGCGAGAGUACUACUAGGAUGGGUGACCUCCUGUGAAGUCUUUGUGUUGUACCUC
rnacentral:rRNA from 2 species